CUUUUACGACAAGAUGGAUGUUCAACUACAAUUAACGAUGGCGGAACACGAUGAAAAAGAAUGCGAAUUUUAAGGAAUCGAACUUGAAAUGCAGUAGUCUAGGUUCAAUUGGGAAAGAUGGUUUUAGGGUUUCAACGAGUUCUCUAGGUUCAAUUGAUUUUUAAGGGCUGAGUUUAAAUGGUAUUUUGGGUUUAAUCGAUUGGGAUUCUAUGGGGUUUAGGGUAUCAAUGAGUUUCUGGGUGAGAGAGGAUGGUGAGGAAAGGUCGAAGAAGAAGAAGAAGGUUUCUUGAUGGAGUGAGAGUGACGACGGUGCAAAGAAAGUCGACGGUUUCUAGGUGGAGUGAGAUUGAAGAAGAUGAACAUCGAAGGUGAGUGUAGGAAGGACGCGGGUGUGAGAGUAGAGGAAGAGAGAAUAAGAUUUUCUCUAAACAAAUGGAUCACGCAGGUGUGAGAGUAGAGGAAGAGGGGAUAAGAUUUUCUCUAAAAAAAUUGAUCUUUUUUUUAUUACUA
rnacentral:lncRNA from 1 species